AAUUAUAAACAGUUUCUCCAGCAAGUUUAAAUAUGUAUAUAGACAGACAUCUUUUGGGAUCCAGGUAAAACCUUAAAUUGAUGAGCACUUCAUGUUGUUGACCUUCGCCGAUAUAAAAUUCUUAGAAAUACAAAUUUCACGUGUAAAAUUUUCAAAACAGAAACGCAUUUAAAUCUUGAUAUAAAUAAUAGUUUUAUUUUUAUACUUGAAUCACACAUCAUUGUCUCAUCUGUGCUUCCAACAAGAUGAAUUUCUACGCUCUGUUUAUUUUAGUCUUGGCUUUGGUAGCCUGUGCUUUUGGUAAUCCUAAUCCCAAUCCUCAGCCUAAUCCUAAACCAUUGGGUGGAGGUGGAGGAGGUGGCGGCGGUGGCGGUGCUAAUGGAGGUGGUGGUGGCGGAGGAGGUGGCGGUGGAAAGUAAAUGCUGUUCCAAAUGUAUCCACCAAGUACAUAAACAUUAUUUAAUACAUUGGGUUAAAUGUUUGUUAUUCUAUAAUUCAAUACAAUUUUGUUAUUAAAUCAAGAGAA